AGAACAAAACCAAUCGGCUUUGCCCGUAACGUUGGUGACUCUGAAUAACUACGCCGAUCGCACGGUCUCGCACCGGGACGCAUCUUUCAAGUGUCUGCCUUAUCAACUGUCGAUGGUAGUUUAAUGUGCCUACCAUGGUUGUAACGGGUAACGGAAGAAUAAGGGUUCCGACUCCGGAGGAGGGGAGCCUGAGAAACGGCUACCACAUCCAAGGAAGGCAGCAGGGCGCGCAAAUUACCCACUCUCGGCCCGAGGAGGUAGGUGACGAAAAAUAACGAGACGGGAUCUCUUUGAGGCCCGUUAUCGGAAUGAGAACAAAUUCAAAUUCUUUAACGAGGAUCUAGCGGAGGGCAAGUCUGGUGCCAGCAGCCGCGGUAAUUCCAACUCCGCAGGUGUAUAUCUAUGCUGCUGCGGUUAAAAAGCUCGUAGUUGGAUCUGCGUGCUCGGAACCGGUCGGCUCACUGAGUUCGAACUGGUCUCCGGCGCUUCAUCUGCUGGUUUUCCCUUGAUGCUCUUAACCGGGUGUCUAGGGUGGCUAGCGCGUUUACUUUGAAAAAAUUAGAGUGCUCAAUACAGGCGAGAUGCCUUGAAUAGUGGUGCAUGGAAUAAUGGAAUAGGACCUCGGUUCUAUUUUGUUGGUUUU
rnacentral:rRNA from 1 species